GGGCCAGUGGGGCAGAGUGGCUUGCGCUCUGGAUUAGGACGCUGGGAGACCAGGGUUCGAAUCCCAGCUGGGCCA